rnacentral:misc_RNA from 1 species
UCCGGUUUGGCACCGGCAGUCUUCCUAGAGUCCCCGCCAUUACGCGCUGGCAACUAAGAACAGGGGUUGCGCUCGUUAGGGGACUUAACCCAACACCUCAAGGCACGAGCUGACGACAGCCAUGCAACACCUGUGCAGGUUACGCCCGAAGGCAAUCCCUCGGCUUUCACCGAGUUAAUCCCUGCAUGUCAAGCCCUGGUAAGGUUCUUCGCGUUGCUUCGAAUUGAGCAACAUCCUCCACCGCUUGUGUGAGCCCCCGUCAAUUCCUUUGAGUUUUAGCCUUGCGACCGUACUCCCCAGGCGGAGUGCUAAAUGCGUUAACGACGGCACCCGGGGACUUUAUAACCCCAGACACCAAGCAUUCAUCGUUUAAGGCCAGGACUAC